UACGUAGGGGGCAAGCGUUGUCCGGAUUUAUUGGGCGUAAAGCGCACGCAGGCGGUCUCUUAAGUUUCGAGUGACAGGUCAGGGCUUAACCCUGGCAGGCCUUGGAAAACUGGGGGACUUGAGGGCUUCAGAGGGACGCGGAAUUCCAGGUGGAGCGGUGAAAUGCGCAGAUAUCGGGAGGAACACCGGUGGCGAAGGCGGUUCUCUGGGCCUGUACUGACGCUGAGGAGCGAAAAGCGUGGGGGAGCGAACAGG
rnacentral:rRNA from 1 species